AUCCCUGUUGCGCAAUGAAUAGCGUGUUGGACUUCUACUCCAAAGGUCGUGGGUUCGAAUCCCAUCUGGAAUG
rnacentral:tRNA from 1 species